AUUGAACGCUGGCGGCAGGCUUAACACAUGCAAGUCGAGCGGGGGAGGUUGCUUCGGUAACUGACCUAGCGGCGGACGGGUGAGUAAUGCUUAGGAAUCUGCCUAUUAGUGGGGGACAACAUUCCGAAAGGGAUGCUAAUACCGCAUACGCCCUACGGGGGAAAGCAGGGGAUCUUCGGACCUUGCGCUAAUAGAUGAGCCUAAGUCGGAUUAGCUAGGUGGUAGGGUAAAGGCCUACCAAGGCGACGACCUGUAGCGGGUCUGAGAGGAUGAUACGCCACACUGGGACUGGAACACGGCCACGACUCCUACGGGAGGCAGCAGUGGGGUAUAUUGGACAAUGGGCGGAAGCCUGAUCCAGCCAUGCCGCGUGUGUGAAGAAGGCCUUUUGGUUGUAAAGCACUUUAAGCGAGGAGGAGGCUCUUAAGGUUAAUACCCUUGAUGAGUGGACGUUACUCGCAGAAUAAGCACCGGCUAACUCUGUGCCAGCCGCCGCGGUAACAC
rnacentral:rRNA from 1 species